rnacentral:misc_RNA from 1 species
GGUGCUGGACUUUUUGAAAGAAAGGACAAGGAUGCAAUCUUUUCUGUAGUUGAAAACAUUGCCAAACAAAAUAAUGUGGUCAGGCCUGACUGGAAUGGUUACAACGUAUUGCUUUUGAAUGCUUCCCAGGCUGCAGCCCUCGACCUUGGACUCGUGCCAGAAUCGGCAAAUAGCAUUGAGUCUGCAAAGUUUUUGUAUUUGAUGGGAGCAGAUGAUGUGGACUUGGAGAAGGUACC